rnacentral:rRNA from 1 species
CACGUAGUCAACCUGCCCUGGAGACAAGGACAACCCCGGUAAACUGGGAUUAAUCCUUGAUAGGUCAUCUCAUCUGGAAGGAGAGAUGGCUUAAAGGGGUACGCGGGCUUCUUCCGCGAAUUCGCUCCAGGAUGGGACUGCGUCCGAUCAGGCUGUUGGCGGGGUAAUGGCCCACCAAACCUGUAACCGGUACGGGCCUUGAGAGAGGUGGCCCGGAGAUGGACACUGAGAGAAGGGUCCAGGUCCUACGGGGCGCAGCAGGCGCGAAACCUUCGCAAUGCGCGAAAGCGUGACGAGGNUAAUCCGAGUGACUUCCGCUGAGGAGGUCUUUUGUCAGCUGUAAAUAGGCAGGCGAAUAAGGGGAGGGCAAGCCUGGUGUCAGCCGCCGCGGUAAUACCAGCUCCUCGAGUGGUCGGGGCGAUUAUUGGGCCUAAAGCAUCCGUAGCCGGUUCCGUAGGUCCUCUGUUAAAUCCAACCGCUUAACGGUUGACCUGCAGAGGAUACCGCGGGACUAGNANGCGGGAAANGCGGACGGUACUCCGCGUGUAGGGGUAAAUCCUUUGAU